CACAACAAUUUCCUGUUCAGCUUUACUCUGUGAGCAAAAGCAGAGACCGAGGUUGGCAAGCAGUAAUGGGAGAGCCGGGGCUCUCCCCCAGCCCCCAGAGAGCCUGCUUUCUCCUGCCCUGCUCUCGGCAUAAGCCGCUUCAGCCACGGGGUGAUCCUCUUGAAUCGCUUUUUAACCGAGUCAAGAAGACUUCUAUGGCAACAGCCUUGUUUGUGUCCUCGCUCCAGACUUUGCUGCUGAUCACCCACAGCCUUUUGGUUCCCCUGUCCGUGUUACAACGCAGCAGGAAGACUCAGAGGACACAUAGUGAGGCACCAAACCCUGUUGAGACCAGCAACUAAGGACUAAAAUGCCUUUUGUUUGGUGGAAGCUGUUCUGGGCCAUGGUCCUGGCUCUUGACAGUUUGUACAAACCAAGUGACUUCCUUCUCUCCAGCCCUCUGCUGAAGUUCAGGAUCUCUCCUAUGUCUCCUGCCUUCUCUCAUGCCACUCUUGGGCCUCUCAGCAGUCACAGAACAUCUUCUUCCAGUUCCAGCUAUCCAUAGCUGUGGAUUUAACAACUGUUUCUACAACCCAGUAACAGCAAUAAAUAUUUAUACUGGGUUAGCA
rnacentral:lncRNA from 1 species